AAUAGAGUAGCUCAGUGGUUAAGACGGUGGACUUCUAAGCGGAAGGUUGAGCGUUCAAAUCCCGUCACUGCUG